AACGAACGCUGGCGGCAUGCCUAACACAUGCCAGUCGAACGAGACCUUCCGGUCUAGUGGCGCCCGGGUGCGUAACGCGUGGGAACCUGCCCUUAGGUUCGGAAUAACUCCCCGAAAGGGGUGCUAAUACCGGAUAAUGUCUUCGGACCAAAGAUUUAUCGCCUUUGGAUGGUCCCGCGUUGGAUUAGCUAGUUGGUAGGGUAAAAGCCUACCAAGGCGACGAUCCAUAGCUGGUCUGAGAGGAUGAUCAGCCACACUGGGACUGAGACACGGCCCAGACUCCUACGGGAGGCAGCAGUGGGGAAUAUUGGACAAUGGGCGAAAGCCUGAUCCAGCAAUGCCGCGUGAGUGAUGAAGGCCUUAGGGUUGUAAAGCUCUUUUACCCGGGAUGAUAAUGACGGUACCGGGAGAAUAAGCACCGGCUAACUCCGUG
rnacentral:rRNA from 1 species